rnacentral:rRNA from 1 species
UAACAUCGGAAUGUGUCUUCUAGUGGGGGAUAACUGCCCGAAAGGGCAGCUAAUACCGCAUGAGACCUGAGGGUGAAAGCGGGGGAUCGCAAGACCUCGCGCUGGAAGAGCGGCCGAUGUCCGAUUAGCUAGUUGGUGAGGUAAAGGCUCACCAAGGCGACGAUCGGUAGCUGGUCUGAGAGGACGACCAGCCACACUGGGACUGAGACACGGCCCAG